AAGUCUUCUAACCGCUAGAGGAAGCCGGGGUGAGCUGCAGGGACAGUCGACGGGGUGCUGCAGCUGCCUGCUCCCCCACUCCGUCUGGACAUGGACCCCCCUUUAUAAUAUAGCAUCAGAACUGAGAAGAGCCACAAGCAUGUGGAUGCCCAUCGUUAAGGGGGCGGCGGCCAGAUGAGCCGGGUGGAGGGGAAACCUGGGCUGGGGUCCAAGAGGUAUUUGUGCCGCAGCAAGAACAGUGUUGUGAAGGCGAACACGGCAUUGCGGGAAAGGACCCAAACCUGAUGGAUUUGGCUGAAAUCUGUCUUCCCUCUGCCAGGGAUGCUAUCAAAGGAAUCACCUCAUUAGAAGCGUGUUUCAGUUCCUGAGGAUCUGCAAGAGUGGAGGGUGCAGAGAGCGUACCUGGGCAGGGGAGGGGAACAAAGAGGAGGAGCCCAUAUCCUCACAAGGAUCAGCCCUGAGCCGGAGGGACUCUGCUGUCACGGUGAAGAUGCUCAGUUCCACCACGAGAGGGAGCACGUGCUACACAACAGAAGCGCAGUUAGGGCUGGAAGGGAAGGGGGAGAGAUGGAGACAGAGACAGAGAGACAGAUGCAGAGAUAGAGAGUGACACAGACCCAG